rnacentral:rRNA from 1 species
AUACGUAGGUGGCAAGCGUUAUCCGGAAUUACUGGGCGUAAAGCGCACGCAGGUGGUUUGCUAAGUUUGACGUGAAAGCGCCUGGCUUAACUGGGCGAGGUCGUUGGAGACUGGCAGACUUGAGGCGAUGAGAGGGGUGUAGAAUUCCCGGUGUAGUGGUGGAAUGCGUAGAUAUCGGGAGGAAUACCAGUGGCGAAAGCGGCACCCUGGCAUUGGCCUGACACUCAUGUGCGAAAGCGUGGGGAGCAAACGGG